CCGGGAUAGCUCAGUUGGUAGAGCAGAGGACUGAAAAU
rnacentral:tRNA from 4 species